GUAAAGGCCCUUUUCAGGGCCAACCACAAUUUGAUUUAAAUUCUUU
rfam:Schistosoma haematobium scaffold101_3, whole genome shotgun sequence.